UGGGGAAUAUUGGGCAAUGGACGCAAGUCUGACCCAGCAACGCCGCGUGAAGGAAGAAGGCUUUCGGGUUGUAAACUUCUUUUAGCAGGGAAGAGUAGAAGACGGUACCUGUUGAAUAAGCCACGGCUAACUACGUGCCAGCAGCCGCGGUAAUACGUAGGGUGCGAGCGUUAAUCAGAAUCACUGGGCGUAAAGCGCACGUAGGCGGCGUGGUAAGUCGGGGGUGAAAUCCCACAGCUCAACUGUGGAACUGCCUUCGAUACUGCCAUGCUUGAGUGUCGGAGAGGGUGGCGGAAUUCCGGGUGUAGGAGUGAAAUCCGUAGAUAUCCGGAGGAACACCGGUGGCGAAGGCGGCCACCUGGACGAAAACUGACGCUGAGGUGCGAAAGCGUGGGUAGCAAACA
rnacentral:rRNA from 1 species